CUAAUGUGAUGAAAACAUUUGUAAACAUUCGCAGUUUCCUCAGGAGUGCACGCAUAGAACCCAAUCUAGUGUAUAAAUGACUGUUAUUAUCCUUCCUUGGAUGUCUGAUUAG
rnacentral:snoRNA from 1 species